UCCGGCUUAUCACCGGCAGUUUCUUUAGAGUGCCCAACUAAAUGGUAGCAACUAAAGACGAGGGUUGCGCUCGUUGCGGGACUUAACCCAACAUCUCACGACACGAGCUGACGACAGCCACGCAGCACCUGUCUCUGGGUUCCUUGCGGCACUCCCAAAUCUCUUCGGGAUUCCCAGGAUGUCAAGACCAGGUAAGGUUCUUCGCGUUGCGUCGAAUUAAACCACAUGCUCCACCGCUUGUGCGGGUCCCCGUCAAUUCCUUUGAGUUUCGACCUUGCGGCCGUACUCCCCAGGCGGUCUACUUCACGCGUUAGCUGCGUUACCAAGUUAAUUAAAACCCGACAACUAGUAGACAUCGUUUAGGGCGUGGACUAC
rnacentral:misc_RNA from 1 species